rnacentral:lncRNA from 1 species
GGUCAGGUAAAAAUGAACUCAGUUGACAUCAACCAAAGGGAAGAUCUGGUAGUGGAUAGACUCUCACCUAUGGAAGAUGUAAAAAUAGUACAGAUUGAUGUUCAAUCAACGCAAAUAACUCAAAUCGGCUCUAAUCUAUCCCUAGAGGAGGAAGACGGGAUCAUCAAAAUUUUAAGGCCGAACGUGGAUAUGUUCGCGUGGAAGU